UGACCUCUGACCUCAAAUCAGGUAGGACUACCCGCUGAACUUAAGCAUAUCAUA
rnacentral:rRNA from 3 species